rnacentral:rRNA from 1 species
AUUGAACGCUGGCGGCAUGCCUUACACAUGCAAGUCGAACGGCAGCACGGGAGCAAUCCUGGUGGCGAGUGGCGAACGGGUGAGUAAUACAUCGGAACGUGCCCAGUAGUGGGGGAUAGCCCGGCGAAAGCCGGAUUAAUACCGCAUACGACCUACGGGUGAAAGCGGGGGACCGCAAGGCCUCGCGCUAUUGGAGCGGCCGAUGUCAGAUUAGCUGGUUGGUGGGGUAAAGGCCUACCAAGGCGACGAUCCGUAGCUGGUCUGAGAGGACGACCAGCCACACUGGGACUGAGACACGGCCCAGACUCCUACGGGAGGCAGCAGUGGGGAAUUUUGGACAAUGGGCGCAAGCCUGAUCCAGCCAUGCCGCGUGCGGGAAGAAGGCCUUCGGGUUGUAAACCGCUUUUGUCAGGGAAGAAAAGUUCUGGGUUAAUACCUCGGAGCGAUGACGGUACCUGAAGAAUAAGCACCGGCUAACUACGUGCCAGCCGCCGCGGUAA